CAGUCUGCAUGGAGCCGGCCUUGAAAUACCACCCUUUAAUGUUUGAUGUUCUAACGUGGACCCGUGAUCCGGGUUGCGGACAGUGUCUGGUGGGUAGUUUGACUGGGGCGGUCUCCUCCUAAAGAGUAACGGAGGAGCACGAAGGUUGGCUAAUCCUGGUCGGACAUCAGGAGGUUAGUGCAAUGGCAUAAGCCAGCUUGACUGCGAGCGUGACGGCGCGAGCAGGUGCGAAAGCAGGUCAUAGUGAUCCGGUGGUUCUGAAUGGAAGGGCCAUCGCUCAACGGAUAAAAGGUACUCCGGGGAUAACAGGCUGAUACCGCCCAAGAGUUCAUAUCGACGGCGGUGUUUGGCACCUCGAUGUCGGCUCAUCACAUCCUGGGGCUGAAGUAGGUCCCAAGGGUAUGGCUGUUCGCCAUUUAAAGUGGUACGCGAGCUGGGUUUAGAACGUCGUGAGACAGUUCGGUCCCUAUCUGCCGUGGGCGCUGGAGAACUGAGGGGGGCUGCUCCUAGUACGAGAGGACCGGAGUGGACGCAUCACUGGUGUUCGGGUUGUCAUGCCAAUGGCACUGCCCGGUAGCUAAAUGCGGAAGAGAUAAGUGCUGAAAGCAUCUAAGCACGAAACUUGCCCCGAGAUGAGUUCUCCCUGACCCUUUAAGGGUCCUGAAGGAACGUUGAAGACGACGACGUUGAUAGGCCGGGUGUGUAAGCGCAGCGAUGCGUUGAGCUAACCGGUACUAAUGAACCGUGAGGCUUAACCUUACAACGCCGAAG
rnacentral:rRNA from 1 species